GUUUCCGUUGCCGUCGGUUACUGUGGGGCGGAAGCUGCUCCAUUUCCUUCCUCAUUUGAGCUUGAAUGUGUUUGUCGUGAAGUCAACCUACUGGACCAGAGCCGAACACAGAAAGAUGCAGACAAAGCCAGGGCCGGUCCAAAGAUUAAGUGGGCCAGCCAGGGGCCCCGAGAAGGCCUACGCCCUUCACAAGAUUAAUCUCAAGACUUCAUAUUUAUGAUCAGCUCAGCUUGAGGUAGGAGUUCUUGCAACGAUGAUUUUCCUUGGACUCCGCUUCCCUUCCUUCCAAGAACUUGCACAACCUUGAUCGUGGGGCACGGUCUAAUUUUCCUCGUCCCCUUCUCCUCCCCCUCCACCUCGCUCUGAUCGCCCCACCGCACAUCAUUUUCAGCGGCCGCAGCAGAGUCCUGAGAUUCCCCUGCAGUAUUUAGCGGUGGACGCACUGCAACUAGUUUCAGCAGCUCGAUGAAAGCAGCAGCCUUUGAAAGUCGGCUGUCAGUCCGAGCUGCUGCAGCUACGGAAGCAAAGCUGCCUCCGACUUUGGUGAGUGGGUGAUGGUAUGCGUGCAGAAUCACAAUAGUCACCCCUGUUACAUGGUCUGUGGCAGAUCUGAGGUCAGGCGGCUUCUCUAAGGGAAUUUUCUCCUAUAUAUGUGGUGAAGAGGAUACACCGCCUCCUUUUAACUCCAGAUCCUGUGGCAAACGUCAGAAGGAAGGUUACGUUUAUCCUCGCAUUAGCCACAAGCCGUCAAACAAUCGUGGAAAAACGGAUGCCUCUUUAAUUUUUAAAUGAAAGGAAAGCUUGGAAACCUGAAUCCCAGGUUAAGAUGAGUGAGUGACCUUAUUUGGCCGCCCUUCAUGGCAGAAAUCUUUGCGAAUAGCUCUCCUCUUCAUUGAACAUUUAAGCCAUAAAAUCGUGGUUUGUGGUGAUGGCUAACGCUAAUGUCUCAAUGGUCACUCUUUGCUGUGUCAGCAGAGUUUUUAAACGUCUGUAACUGGCUUUGCUCCACUGCUCCAACCUGUCAGAUUCACUCGUGUUGCUUUUCUCAUUUCUUUAUAAACUCGGCAGCUUUCUCAGAGUUGGAGGUGGAAGAUAAUAAAAAAACGUACUUUUUUUUCCCCC